rnacentral:rRNA from 1 species
AUUGAACGCUGGCGGCAGGCCUAACACAUGCAAGUCGAGCGAGCGUCGGACGGGGGAGUAAUGUCUCUGAAACUGCCCGUUGGAGGGGGAUAACUACUGGAGACGGUAGCUCAUACCCCAUAUCCUCUCAUGUGCUCCGAUGGGAUGUGCGCUUGGGUGGGGUAAUGGCUCACCUAGGCGACGAUACCUAGCUGGUCUGAGAGGAUGACCAGCCACACUGGAACUGAGACACGGUCCAGACUCCUACGGGAGGCAGCAGUGGGGAAUAUUGCACAAUGGGCGCAAGCCUGAUGCAGCCAUGCCGCGUGUGUGAAGAAGGCCUUCGGGUUGUAAAGCACUUUCAGCGGGGAGGCGUUACCCGCAGAAGAAGCACCGGCUAACUCCGUGCCAGCAGCCGCGGUAAUAC